rnacentral:rRNA from 1 species
CCUACGGGAGGCAGCAGUGGGGAAUAUUGGACAAUGGGGGAAACCCUGAUCCAGCGACGCCGCGUGAGUGAAGAAGUAUUUCGGUACGUAAAGCUCUAUCAGCAGGAAAGAAAAUGACGGUACCUGACUAAGAAGCACCGGCUAACUACGUGCCAGCAGCCGCGGUAAUACGUAGGGGGCAAGCGUUAUCCGGAUUUAGUGGGUGUAAAGGGAGCGUAGACGGCAGCGAAAGUCUGGAGUGAAAUGCGGGGGCCAAACCCCGGAACUGCUCUGGAAACUGUGAAGCUUGAGUGCAGGAGAGGUAAGCGGAAUGCCUGGUGUAGCGGUGAAAUGCGUAGAUAUCAGGAGGAACACCGGCGGCGAAGGCGGCUUACUGGACUGUAACUGACGUUGAGGCUCGAAGGCGUGGGGAGCAAACAGGAUUAGAUACCCGUGUAGUC